UGUGACCUCGGAUGAUCCAGAAGAGGUUUUCAGGGCAUUGCUGCUGGGUCCAGCCCUCCUGAUGGAUUUGACAGUUCAAGCCGGGAAGCAAACAGCAGAGCUUAUAGAAGCUUAGCCAGCCUUAUAGAACACUUCUGUGAGCUGAUGAGUGGGGAUUUCCCCCCACAGACCAAGCAAAGCAGCUGCGUGUCCUCCAACUCAAUUCAGUGCCGACACUGUCUACCUAGAGGUAGUGUCAGAUGCCACAGGUGGAGGGCUCAGUGCCACAACCGCCCUCCACUCUGAGGCCAAGAUCAAGCUCCCUGUUGUUUUGCUGUGCUUCUGACCAACCAGCUACCCAUGAGGGC
ensembl:lncRNA